UACUUCCCUUACUCUCAGUUGCUCUCCUCUUCGUCUCCUCUUCCGAUCCAGAGCUAGGGUUCAUCGAGUUUUCCUCUCCUUUGUGUCCCCCCUCUCACUUUCUCGUCUGAUCUACUCUACUUUUGUGGUUAUUUAGCUGUUAGUUUUGUACCUUUUGUUGUUCUAUAUGCAGGAUUUGCUCUCGGGGAUUUCUUGGGUUAGGGAUCUUUGUGCUCCAUCUGCUUGUUCAGGUAUUUUACCUGCUCAAUCUUUUUUUCUUGUCUUUCUAUGUCUUUUGUAAUGUUUCGUGGUAGAAUGGGAUGUAUGGUUAGGGUUCUUGUUUAGCAUGCUUUGGUUAGGGUUUUCGUAAUCUUCCUUUUUUUUCCUUCAAUCUUGCUCUUUUGGUUAGGAUUUGUGUCUUCUCUUCCCUUUUUUUCUUUUAGAAUAAGUUGCUAGAUAUCUGGUGGAAUAGAUGUGCGGUAGUUUGAUUUUUUGGGUUUGGUUUUUUAUGGCUGGGGUAGGCUUGUGCUAUAGAUUUAUUAGAUUUCUGGAUAUUUUGUUGAUUUGGUGUGAUUGAAGAAUAGGAAGUGAGUUUCUACGUCUUGAACUGUUAAAUCAAAUGUGUGUAAGGUUAAUCUAAUGUUAAAUCUAGGUCUUUGUGGUUCUUACAAUGAGCUUUUUUCCGGACCUUCUGUUGAGAGUUUUGUUAAAGGUCCUCUUUUUUUAAACUUAAUCCCCUUUACUUUGUGUUUCUAAAUGCUCAUAGGCUUAACAUUACUAUAUUCAACUUCGUAGGCUUAGCUUGCUCAUCAAAUUCUUUAUUCAGAGUGUUUUGUAGGAGAUUUAUAAUCUUUCGAGUAUCCAUGUACUUACAGUAAUCCUAAGUGAAUUACUAGUCAUGUAUAUUUAUUUAUUGAAUUUUAUUUUUGUGCAUGAAAAAUAUGUAUUCUUCUCGCAGUUUUCAACUGUUGUAAAUUAGAAUGUACUUACCUUUGUUGCUAAUAUACCUUUUACUCCAUGUUGAUUUUGUUCUUGCUGAUUUUAUUUGUGUGCAAAUUGUGUAGCCCGCAUGUGUAAAUCUACAAUAAUUAGUAUCAUGACAUAGCAGUAAGUCAUAGUAGCAAUUGUCGGAUCCCAUGAUAUUCAAAAUAUAUGAUAUGGUAUUCCCAACGUCUGCAAAUUGCUCCAAGAAUGGCUCUCAGCCAAGACACCUACCACAUUGUUUUCUCUUUGUGUUUUUAGAAUAUGCUUUGCCGCAGCUUGUCAGUGUUGUGUAUUUUGUGAACCCUUCAUGUGCAACUAAAGACAGAUAGUACUUUCCGAAUAUUGUAGACAUUGGGAAUACCAUGUUCAACUAGUACUUUAUGAAUAUUGUAGUUACAAUAGGUGCAACCUAUAGUAGGGGUGGGUGUUUUUGCACCCAAAGAAGGAGAGCAACAUAGAGUAGGAAUGUAUGCUUAGGUCUGCUUUUGUGUGUGCAUAUUUUUGUAUGCUUGAUGUGGUAGCGUUUUAACUGUUGUAAAUUAGAAUAUACUUACCUUUGUUGCUAGUAUAUAUCUUAUACUCCGUGGUAGCAAUGGUUGGAUCCCAUGAUAUGCAAAAUAUUUUUUCUAUGGUAUUCCAAAUGUCUGCAAUUGCACCAACAAUGGUUCUCGGCCAAUACUCCUACUAAUCUAUUGCUCUAUUUCUUUAGAAUAUGCUUUGCUCUAGUCUGUAGAUGUUGUUCCUGAUAAUGAUGUUGUGCAAGUUCCUAAUCCUUCUUGUGCAGUUGAAUGGUUUGAUAGUUCCAUUAGUUUUUCUAAUAGUUUGAUAGUUUGACUAGUGAUAGUUAAUUCUAUUAUUGUGAGAUAGUUGCCGUAGUUGGUGAGAGCUAGUUGCAUUGCUUAUUGCUUGCUAUUUUUUCUAUGAGCUUUGUGAUGUUGUUUAGUUUUAGGUAGUUUUUAUUGUUGUUGUUGCUAUAAAUUUACCUAGAUGCUACCCUUUUAACCUAUUUUGUGGUUUUCCCUUUGAUGAGUUCCCUUUUUAUAUUAAGGCUUCUUUUUUUAUUUUAUGUGGGCAUGGUUUGCCCUAUCUGCCAUAAUCCGGAUGGACCCUGUGAGCCAGGUGAUCUAGUUCUCCACGAGUUUGACGUUGUCCUCAAUGAAAGUUGCUUUAGGCACAUGUACAUUCCCUACAAUUUUAGAGCUUUUGUAGCUUAUUACAUUGAUGAGCAGAGGGAUGCUGCUAUGAUGUUACAGUACAAGAAGGUUGAGCCUGCUCUUCUUACUUAUGAAGGAAGGUCUUACCCUCCUUUGUUUAAGCAUUGACCCAAUUUAGCAAGUUUUAUGGCAAUGCUUGGUUGAGUUAACUAUGACUAUGGUCUUCGUGCUGGAGACCGGAUAGUGUUCUCUCUGGACCAUAUGACCUUUGAUCUGAAAGUGGACACUUAUCGGGGUGCAGAAAGGUUGCUUCCUAUUCUUUGUGUUGUUUUGUUUUGUAGCUUUUGAAAAUUUGUCUAAUGAUAAAUACCAGUAUGUUGGCUAUGCUGUCUUCUCUCAGCAAAUAGCGUUUAACUAUCAUGAGACCCGCUUCUUUCUUUGGUGUCUCUUUCAAGACAAUUUCCUGCGUUGCCGCCCAUUUGUGCAUCUCAUGACUGUCACCAACAUCACACCAACAUCAACCGGCAUAUCAUGGUGGAAAAUCCCCAAGACUGUUGUUUGAAGCUUGAAGAGAUUUGUUGAUGUGCCGAAUGCGUUUGUCACUCUGGUAGCUAUGGAUGAGGGUGUGCAUGUAAUCACUCCUUCGUCAUUUUCUAUUAGCAAGCAAGAUGGGGGGAUGGUGAUUCAGAACAACACUUUCAAUGAGUUCUUCCCAGCCGCUUCUCUUAUUGAAGGCAAUGUUGUUCUCAUCACAUUCAAAGAACCCAUUUACAGAUCAGUGUCCAUUGUGUUGCAAUAGAUCAUCUACGUGCAAAUGCUAUGCUUCUGACCUUGAUGCAAGUGAUAGUGGUAGGGGAAUGACAGUUGGUGGUUCCGAGCUUGAUCUUUUGGGGGCAAACUAUGUUAGUUAUAUGCAAUUAUGUAUGGACUCCCUUUGGAAUUAUGUUCAGAUGCUUAGUUGUGUAUGAACUAGCAAGGUGACCCGCACAUUUGCGCGGCUAGAUUUAUUAAUUAUUAUUCUUGUUUGUGAUA